AUUGAACGCUGGCGGCAGGCUUAACACAUGCAAGUCGAACGAGUGGCGGACGGGUGAGUAAUGCUUGGGAAUCUAGCUUAUGGAGGGGGAUAACUACGGGAAACUGUAGCUAAUACCGCGUACCAUAGGAUGAGCCCAAGUGGGAUUAGGUAGUUGGUGAGGUAAAGGAGUACCAAGCCGACGAUCUCUAGCUGGUCUGAGAGGAUGACCAGGCACGCUGGGACGGAGAAAGGGCACAGACUCCUACGGGAGGCAGCAGUGGGGAAUAUUGCACAAUGGGAGCAAGCCUUAUGCAGCCAUGCCGCGUGUAUGAAGAAGGCCUUAGGGUUGUAAAGUACUUUCAGCGGGGAGGCGUUACCCGCAGAAGAAGCACCGGCUAACUCAGUGCCAGCAGCCGCGGUAAUAC
rnacentral:rRNA from 1 species